rnacentral:rRNA from 1 species
CUUUCCCUCUGGCGGCAUGCUUUACACAUGCAAGUCGAACGGCAGCGCGGGCUUCGGCCUGGCGGCGAGUGGCGAACGGGUGAGUAAUGCAUCGGAACGUGCCCAGUAGUGGGGGAUAGCCCGGCGAAAGCCGGAUUAAUACCGCAUACGACCUGAGGGUGAAAGCGGGGGACCGAAAGGCCUCGCGCUAUUGGAGCGGCCGAUGUCGGAUUAGCUAGUUGGUGGGGUAAAGGCUUACCAAGGCGACGAUCCGUAGCUGGUCUGAGAGGACGACCAGCCACACUGGGACUGAGACACGGCCCAGACUCCUACGGGAGGCAGCAGUGGGGAAUUUUGGACAAUGGGGGCAACCCUGAUCCAGCCAGGCCGCGUGCGGGAAGAAGGCCUUCGGGUUGUAAACCGCUUUUGUUCGGGAAGAAAUCCUCUGGGCUAAUACCCCGGGGGGAUGACGGUACCGGAAGAAUAAGCACCGGCUAACUACGU